rnacentral:rRNA from 1 species
GUGGGGAAUAUUGGGCAAUGGGCGAAAGCCUGACCCAGCAACGCCGCGUGAGGGAAGAAGGCUUUCGGGUUGUAAACCUCUGUCCUUGGUGACGAAGGAAGUGACGGUAGCCAAGGAGGAAGCCCCGGCUAACUACGUGCCAGCAGCCGCGGUAAUACGUAGGGGGCGAGCGUUGUCCGGAAUUACUGGGCGUAAAGGGUGCGUAGGCGGCCGAUUAAGUUGGAUGUGAAAUACCCGGGCUUAACCUGGGGGGUGCAUCCAAUACUGGUUGGCUAGAGGGCAGGAGAGGGAAGCGGAAUUCCUAGUGUAGCGGUGAAAUGCGUAGAUAUUAGGAGGAACACCAGUGGCGAAGGCGGCUUUCUGGACGAAAACUGACGCUGAGGCGCGAAAGCCAGGGGAGCGAACGGGAUUAGAUACCCCUGUAGUCC